rfam:Ricinus communis ctg_1100012361588, whole genome shotgun sequence.
UAGCGUGUGAUGAGGUACUCGGAUUCCCCUUCUGGACAUCAUGGGUGAUGCAAUACCGAGUCUCUGAUGCU